GACAACAUGGCUCAGUGGUAAGAGCACUGAUGUUGUAAACCACGGGUCGUGAGUUCAAUCCACACUGGUGGCU